rnacentral:tRNA from 1 species
AGAUCUAUGGUGUAAUGGAUAGCACACAAGGCUACGAACCUUGGGGUAAGGGUUCAACUCCUUUUAGAUCUG